rfam:Yarrowia lipolytica strain CLIB122 chromosome A complete sequence.
GGUAUCCUGGCCGAGCGGUCUAAGGCGCCAGGUUAAGGCUAAUACCUUAACGAAUUUCCUGGUCUCUUCGGAGGCGUGAGUUCGAAUCUCACGGAUAUCA